GCCCUACAGUCUCUCAUGUCCAUGUACCAUAAAUGUCUCAUUGUUCUGUCGCAGGACAAAGAUGACUCCUGAGUGGAGGUGGAACAUGAAUUCUGUCUGAGGAUGCUUGUGUGGCUGCCAGCGCGUUUUUAUCGCUCAAAAGCCUCUUCUGCUGACACUCAACGAAACCCAAGCAGGAGAUAGAAGUGGCACACAACAUAAAACCCUGCUUAAAGAUCACAGUGAAUACACUAGAAAUGUGGUGUACAGUGGAGUGAGAAGAGCCAAGUUAACGACUUGUGUACCUGCCAGGGCCGAGCUGACGCUGGUCGAUCCGUUCAGCUGCACAGGAAUGGAAGGAACGCUGGAGGACGGGAAAACAAGUCGGUUAAAAAACAAUCAAGCAGGUCCACUAUUAAAGUUGUAUUUAUUCGUCAAUACCUAAAUUGAGCUAUUAAUGUGCCUGCUGAUCAACAGCCAAUCAGGUGAGGGUACAAAUUAGUAGCAAAGACACUCAUUUAUUUUACUUUUAUUGUGUGUCCAGCUGAGUUGGGUAAGUCUUACUUUUGAAUUUACUGCACAGUAACAACUGCUUAAUGAUCAUUCAUCUAAGUGGAGAAAAACGGCAGGAAAUAAAGAAACAUUUGGUGUUGUUCCUGCUGUUUCAGGCCACAUUCUGUGCUGGCACGUGCAAUAACAAGCGUGGGCACGCUUCCUUUUUUCAAAGGAUCACUUGUCAGCCACAGACCAAAGGAGGAAAGGUGUCAGAAAUGAUAAUGAAGCCCACUGACUGACUGUCCAUCCACAGGAAGACGUGCUUUACAUGAUGAAGACCGCCUGAAGGAAAAAGUGUUGAUCCAGAGGAGCAGCUGUUAGAACAUUCCGAUGACAACAACAACAACAACAUGCUAAAUAAACUACCGUGUUUGACAGGCCUUCACAUGUACAAUACAACUCGAGGCGAAUGUUUAAUAUGACUCACCUGUGUCCUGUCUGAACUGUUUCAAGCUCGGCACGUCAAUAAGAUAUGGCGACAGGCCGGGGUCAGACUGUCCGAGGGAGAUGGUGGAGGUGCCCGGCGCGCCGCCUCGGUGUCCCCGCGGCGAUAGGCAUCGCUCGAUGUGGGCGCUCACUUGGCCGCUGUAAGGCCGCCAGUGGCCCUGGUCGUCCUGCCAUUCCCACACGGCUAUCAUGGGCUGGGACUGGCCAACGGAGCCGGACGGAGUCACUGCGGAGACAGAGGGCCCGUUCCUGGAGCCGUUCACCCGGGCACAGGAGCCAGACACAAUCGCCAUACUGGGCCUCGUGGAAGAAGUAGCUGUCAACGCACAGAAGAUUGGCUGCCAUGGAGCGCGUUUAACGGACGGAUGGUUGGAAGUAAUAAUGUGAGGAAUGAAGUCAACUUGAGGAGAUUACACAAAAAUGUUAUUAAAAUGCCUGCAGAAAGACAUCAUCUAACCAGAAGGCAAAUUACAAGACAUGUAACGUGUACCUCCAUCAAGGACUUCCGUGGACUUUUGGAUCUGUCUCGGGGAACCAUGGCCAUGUUUGCACCGGAGACCAGCUGGAGAGACCGGAGAAGACGGAGCUCGCUUUAAGCGUCAAGAUGGACGAGUUGUCCAAAGCCCUGGCUGAAUGAGCAUGUAUUGGGACAGAUUCUCCAUCAUCCGCGCGAACCUGACUUAGGCCGAGAGCUCGUGGGCAGCCUAGGACGGAGUUGGCUCUCGGUUGCUUUGUUGGGUCUGCUCCAAUGAUGGCGUGGAGCACCACAGAGGUGGGUGUUGUAUUUUUGUAUUUUGUCUACGCAUGGUGCAAACGUAUGUGCGCAACAUAUAAUAUUUAUUCCACUUUCUGUUUUUUUCCUUGUGUUUUACUUUUGUAGCUGUAUGUAGAAACGGCACCUCUGAAGUGGCAACUGUUUGCAUCAGCUCCCGAACUCUUUUAAUUUUAAUGUUCGCCUCUUGUUUUCAUACCAAGAUGGCCGCCAUACUACUAUGGUCUCAUAGUUCAGUGUUUUUCGAUUUUUUUUGAGGCAAGGCAUGUUUUUAUUCAUUUAAGAAUA